rnacentral:lncRNA from 1 species
UAUCUGUAAUGUCUUCCCUUUUAUAAAAAGGUUAGUGUAUUGUUGUGGUCAUUAAAAUAAAGACCUAAUGAUGUAGUUCAGCUAAAUUCACGACUCUUAAGGCAAUAGGACCUGGGAGAAUAUAACUGGUAAACGAGGCAGGCUACAGUCUCAUGAAAUAACCAACUUUAUCAGAGCUUCAGAUAAUGUAGGCUCUGAGGGUUGAGGAAGGUCAGCUCAGUAAGGUUGUCAUGAGCUCAAGCAACAUACAAUUCACAGUGACAAAACAAUGUCAGCCAUAAAGUCAUUGUGAUGGCUAUUUCUGUUUGUCAACUUGACUAUAUCUGGAAUUAAUUAAAAUCCGGAAAUGGAGGGCAAGCCUGUGAUCUAGAUCUUGAGACUGUAAGAAGACACAGGCUUCUGACCUGGAUCUUGACAUGGAGAUCUUGAGGACUAGUGACCUUAAAUAGCUUAGGCCCAAGCAAGGUAGCAC